GUUCUUCGGAAUUAGAGACCGGCGCACGGGUGCGUAACGCGUAUGCAACCUACCUUUUACAGAGGGAUAGCCCAGAGAAAUUUGGAUUAAUACCUCAUAGUAUUAUGAAAUGGCAUCAUUUUAUAAUUAAAGUCACAACGGUAAAAGAUGAGCAUGCGUCCCAUUAGCUAGUUGGUAAGGUAACGGCUUACCAAGGCUACGAUGGGUAGGGGUCCUGAGAGGGAGAUCCCCCACACUGGUACUGAGACACGGACCAGACUCCUACGGGAGGCAGCAGUGAGGAAUAUUGGACAAUGGGCGCAAGCCUGAUCCAGCCAUGCCGCGUGCAGGAUGACGGUCCUAUGGAUUGUAAACUGCUUUUAUACGAGAAGAAACACUCCUUCGUGAAGGAGCUUGACGGUAUCGUAAGAAUAAGGAUCGGCUAACUCCGUGCCAGCAGCCGCGGUAAUACGGAGGAUCCAAGCGUUAUCCGGAAUCAUUGGGUUUAAAGGGUCCGUAGGCGGUUUAAUAAGUCAGUGGUGAAAGCCCAUCGCUCAACGGUGGAACGGCCAUUGAUACUGUUAAACUUGAAUUAUUAGGAAGUAACUAGAAUAUGUAGUGUAGCGGUGAAAUGCUUAGAGAUUACAUGGAAUACCAAUUGCGAAGGCAGGUUACUACUAAUGGAUUGACGCUGAUGGACGAAAGCGUGGGUAGCGAACAGGAUUAGAUACCCUGGUAGUCCACGCCGUAAACGAUGGAUACUAGCUGUUGGGAGCAAUCUCAGUGGCUAAGCGAAAGUGAUAAGUAUCCCACCUGGGGAGUACGUU
rnacentral:rRNA from 1 species